rnacentral:rRNA from 1 species
GGACUACCGGGGUAUCUAAUCCUGUUUGCUCCCCACGCUUUCGCGCCUCAGCGUCAGUUACAGUCCAGAGAGCCGCCUUCGCCACUGGUGUUCCUCCACAUCUCUACGCAUUUCACCGCUACACGUGGAAUUCCGCUCUCCUCUUCUGCACUCAAGUUCUCCAGUUUCCCAUGCAAACACGGGUUGAGCCCGUGCCUUAGACACCAGACUUAAAGAACCGCCUGCGCGCGCUUUACGCCCAAUAAUUCCGGACAACGCUUGCCCCCUACGUAUUACCGCGGCUGCUGGCAC